rnacentral:rRNA from 1 species
AACAUCGCCUCUUGAAUCUCAUAAGAGGUCCAGCCUGCCCAGUGACACAAUUAAACGGCCGCGGUACCCUGACCGUGCGAAGGUAGCAUAAUCACUUGUUCUCUAAAUAAGGACUCGUAUCAACGGCAUCACGAGGGUUAUACUGUCUCCUCUUUUUAAUCAGUGAAACUGACUUUCCCGUGAAGAGGCGGGAAUAAAAAUACAAGACGAGAAGACCCCAUGGAGCUUUAAACCCAAUAGUAACCUCUAUUUACUACUACUACUUAAUUAAGAAGGUCUGUCUACUGGUUUUAGGUUGGGGUGACCCUGGAGUAAAACUUAGCCUCCAUGACGAAUAGAACUUAUUCUAAUCCCAGAGCUACCGCUCUACGAAUCAAAAUUUUGACGUAAACUGAUCCGCCUAGCGAUCAACGAACCAAGUUACCCUGGGGAUAACAGCGCAAUCCAUUUCAAGGCCCCCUAUCGACAAAUGGGUUUACGACCUCGAUGUUGGAUCAGGGUAUCCCAGUGGUGCAGCCGCUACUAAAGGUU